GCUUUGAACAAAGACGCUUGGCAGUGGCUGUUGCACUCCUCAUUUAUUCACGCUUAAGCACAAUUCUGCUCACAGACUGCAGUAGCUGAAGAGCACGCAUUUGUCAAUAGACAGAAUAAUGCUCAUUGCAGCAGGACACCACAUUCCAUCGGCAGAAACGGUGACAGUGAAGAGACUUUGGAAUUGUCAGCUAACAGGUCCCUGUUUCUGGGGUUAUCAAGAGGCUUCCAUUUAUCUUCUGGCUGGAAAGAAGCACCCUUUGCCAAUCCUCUCACAGCCAAUACCAUGUACAGACCCAGGAGCAGCACUUUCCACAUGCUGGAGAUGAACAGAGUGUCUGUAAGAAGGGCAAACAGACAUACUACUUAAAUCCUACAGAGCUGUCACUGAUCAUGUGAAUCCAAGGAAAGUCUGCCCACUGCAGAUUACAUCCAUGUGCUAUCAACUCUUUGUUUUCAUAGUCUUAAGGUACUUGGAAGAAAAAAUUAUUCUAAACAAGUGUUUCCCACACCAAAGCUAUUUCUAGACACUGGACUCUCUUCUGAGGGACCAGUAGAAUACUCAGCACAACAUAUUACAUUUGUAAGUUUACAUUUAUUACAUAAAGCCAUUUUCAGUGGCUAAUACAGCACCAGAACUCUAUGUACUCCAAGGAGAAUGCAAAAAUAUGGCCCAAGAUCCAGACAGCUCAGUUUUUUAAAACUGCAUUACAUUUUACUACAUAUAAUAGUAAGUGCAAUGGUAUUUAAUACAGCCUGGUCUAACAUACUAGAGAUCCAUUUCACAACUUGACUCGGGGAGAAAAGGAAUUCUCCCUCUCUUUAAAAUAGAGCUUACCAGGGAAUUUGGCUUUGGCUUGCCCCUUCUUGGUUGGUCUCCUAGUAAUCUGUGAACAACCUGAUCUCUGCACUUAUAUUUCUAGUAGAAUGUAGGUGGGUGUCAAUGACGUUAGCAGGAGUUCAAAAAUACAGUAAUGAUUCCAUUUCCAACCACGACAUAAAGACCCUUGAGAAUUUCAUCCUUGAUACUCUUCAGACCUGUUGCUAUCGAACAGUGCAGUACAAAUUCCUCCCAAGCCAUAUUGCAGAAAAUUGGUAGUAGGCAUACAGGAAGUUUAAAACAAUUCCCAGGAGAAAUGGCACAGCUUUAUCAAAAUAUUAUUUUUAGUUAAAAGUAAUUAGCCAUAUCUCUAGCCUGGUGACUAAUGGUUUUCAAGCAAAUGAGAUAUGGAUCCCUCUCUUGAUGCUGGAAAAAGAGAGGGAAAAGUCCAAAAUCAUAAUAUUUUAAUGGAAGCAUUGCUUUCCUUCCCUGAUUUUAUCAGCAGUUAAUAUCCGCCUGUCACAUUAGAAACUGAGACAAGGGCUGCAAGGAGGACUCUGCUAAUUUACGUUGGCCUUAGUGCAUAGUGUUCUUCAUAUCAAAGCUGCUCAUAUUUUUUUAUUUCACUGCACUCUCUCUCUGCUAUGCAGAUGAUACAUGGUUUAAUAUCACAUAAAAAAUAUAUCCCUAAAUAGACAUGUUAAAAUUAAAAAUAUUUGACCAUCACCUUACUCCAGAGUGUAGAUGUUUAUGUCUGACUAGAAGCUUUACAUUUUUCUUUGGUUUAAAUUUUGAAAGCAAAAUAAAAAUCUGCCACAACCCUUCCA
ensembl:lncRNA